AACAAGAUGACACUGGAUAUCAUUCCAGAUUAUACUCAUAGCUAGUAUAAUCCAGAUUAUACUGAGUGAUAUCUGGAUUAUACUCAUUAUAAUCUUGGAUGAUAUCCAGUAUCAUCUUGCUCUUUCCAUGUGA